GCCAGUAGCUCAAUUGGCAGAGCAGUUGACUCUUAAUCAAUUGGUUGGAGGUUCUCCCGAUGGUC
rnacentral:tRNA from 1 species